GACGAACGCUGGCGGCGUGCCUAAUACAUGCAAGUCGAGCGAAGAGUUUCUGGUUCUUGCACUAGCAAAACUUAGCGGCGAACGAGUGAGUAACACGUAAAGAACCUGCCUCAUAGACAGGACCAACUAUAGGAAACGAUAGCUAAUACUGGAAAACAGUACUUCUCGCAUGAGAGAGAUUUAAAAGUUGGUUAUGCUAACGAUAUGAGAUGGCUUUGCGUGGCAGUAGCUAGUUGGUGGGGUAAAGGUCCACCAGGGCGACGAUGCAUAGCCGACGUGAGAGAGUGGUCGGCCACCUGGGAGCUGAGACACCGCCCAUGCUCCUGCGGGAGGCCGCAGUAGGCAAUCGUACGCAGUGGGCGAGAGCCUUACGGAGCGGCCCGACGUGAGUGAAGGAAGAUUUCGGUUCGUAAUGCUCUGCUGUUAGGUGAGAACGGAUUUGUAGUAUGACUACGUGUGAGUGACGGUACCUAGCAAGAAAGCAACGGCUAACUACGUG
rnacentral:rRNA from 1 species